rnacentral:rRNA from 1 species
AGGACGAACGCUGGCGGCGUGCUUAACACAUGCAAGUCGAGCGGAAAGGCCCUUCGGGGUACUCGAGCGGCGAACGGGUGAGUAACACGUGAGUAAUCUGCCCCUAGCUCUGGGAUAGCUCCGGGAAACCGGGAUUAAUACCAGAUACGACCACUUUAGACAUCUGUUGUGGUGGAAAGAAUUUCGGCUAGGGAUGAGCUCGCGGCCUAUCAGCUUGUUGGUGAGGUAACGGCUCACCAAGGCGACGACGGGUAGCCGGCCUGAGAGGGCGACCGGCCACACUGGGACUGAGACACGGCCCAGACUCCUACGGGAGGCAGCAGUGGGGAAUAUUGCGCAAUGGGCGAAAGCCUGACGCAGCGACGCCGCGUGGGGGAUGAAGGCCUUCGGGUUGUAACCCCUUUCAGCAGGGACGAAGCGAAAGUGACGGUACCUGCAGAAGAAGCGCCGGCUAACUACGUGCCAGCAGCCGC